CUGGUGUUAAGGAGCGAUGGCCUCUCUAUGACGACUAGUUUAGAGCAAUCAAAUAACGAUUUGCUAAACCGCUAAACUAAGUGUUUUUUAAUUCCAUAGCAACUGCAUGAAAAUGAACGAAUAUCUCACCCCAUCAGGAACUCUCUAUAUCCGACUAAUUAUUCUACCACUUAUGUAGGAUUAAUAAUCGCUCAAUAUUUCUAGGGAUUGGCAGUGCAUGCUUUAGCCUUAAGAUGGAACUAAAGCUGCUAAACUAUUUAUUCUUUAUGGGGAGCAGUGGAUUAUAACUCACACCCUGGCUGAUCUGACCUUUUAGUAGAAAAAUACAUUUACAAUUAUCACAAACCGGAGAUUGCCAUGGCAACAACAAAUGACAAAGGUCGCAGGUCAUCCCCCUAUUUGAGUCUUGCAAAGUCAAGUCCUUUUUCAAGUCGGACUCUCCAGUUCACGGUGAGUCUCACUAAAGGGGUUUGCAAUCCUCUAAAGUGCUUUCA